GGGCCCGCACAAGCAGCGGAGCGUGUGGUUUAAUUCGAUGUUACACGAAGAACCUUACCAGGGUUUGACAUGCAAGUGGUAGGAAGCCGAAAGGUGACCGACCCUUCGGGGAGCUUGCACAGGUGCUGCAUGGCUGUCGUCAGCUCGUGUCGUGAGAUGUUCGGUUAAGUCCGCUAACGAGCGCAACCCUCGCUGUGUGUUAUAUGUGUCACACGGGACUGCCGGUCUUAAGCCGGAGGAAGGUGGGGAUGAUGUCAAGUCAGCAUGGCCUUUAUAUCCUGGGCUACACACACGCUACAAUGGCCAACACAAUAGGUUGCUAAGCCGCGAGGUGGCGCCAAUCCAUAAAGUUGGUCUCAGUUCAGAUUGUAGGCUGCAACCCGCCUGCAUGAAGAUGGAGUUGCUAGUAAUCGCGGAUCAGCACGCCGCGGUGAAUACGUUCCCGGGCCUU
rnacentral:rRNA from 1 species